rnacentral:rRNA from 1 species
GACGAACGCUGGCGGCGUGCUUAACACAUGCGAGUCGAACGGAAAGGCCCUGCUUUUGUGGGGUGCUCGAGUGGCGAACGGGUGAGUAACACGUGAGUAACCUGCCCUUGACUUUGGGAUAACUUCAGGAAACUGGGGCUAAUACCGGAUAGGAGCUCCUGCUGCAUGGUGGGGGUUGGAAAGUUUCGGCGGUUGGGGAUGGACUCGCGGCUUAUCAGCUUGGUGGUGGGGUAGUGGCUUACCAAGGCUUUGACGGGUGGCCGGCCUGAGAGGGUGACCGGCCACAUUGGGACUGACAUACGGCCCAGACUCCUACGGGAGGCAGCAGUGGGGAAUAUUGCACAAUGGGCGGAAGCCUGAUGCAGCAACGCCGCGUGCGGGAUGACGGCCUUCGGGUUGUAAACCGCUUUCGCCUGUGACGAAGCGUGAGUGACGGUAAUGGGUAAAGAAGCACCGGCUAACUACGUG